GUUCCAGCGGUCUUUCUUGUAUCAUACAUUGUCGUGUUAUGUGCCGCGGUAUUGCCGAGUGGAGUUGGUCGUGAUAUUCAAUGCUUGAGAACGGGCGUCGGCAGUGAAGUCCACAGCGCAUUCAGCGCAUUCAUGCAAGCCAGCAACAGGCCCCGUCUCGCCACAUGGAGGCCCGUGGGACGCUUGUUCGGAAAGUAAAAGGUGUCCGAUGCUUGCGGCUGAUGGCUUCUACCUACGUGCAUCAAACAGCGGGCCUGCACCUUCGCCGAGACAGCAGUAAUACAGUUCUGGGUAACUGCAGCGACUGGGUCACCGAUGCCGUUCCACUUCCUGCGUUGCACUCCGCAUGGGUCAAAGGGCCAGCGCAUGCCUUUUAUGCGUUGUCGCCAGCCAUAAUGUGCAGGUCGGACAUGAGGCAAUAAAAGCUUGGCCCACCAACCACAUGGCUCCUACCGCCCUGUCAACGUAGAGGUGAGUUGGUGGGGUCUGCUGAGUGCUUCUGGCGUAGCAGCUCGGCAGUGGUGAGUUACUAGAGCGCAAAAUGCAAUACCGCACUUUACUCUGAAUGCUGCGAGCCAUUGGAGCCAAUCCAGUGCCGAAGGUGUGUCACGUGGCCUGUCCGUUGGGCGCAACGGCACGUUGAGCACAGUGUCAUCUGGCAGCGUCAAAGUGUCAGAGAGCUUUCUGGACAAGCGGCGAUAAUCAAGAAUGAAACGUGCCCUACAGCUAGCUAGCUUCGAGAGUGUUACACAUCGCAGUGUCAAACAAAACGGCAAUAUCAGUCAACAAGACCGAGUACCGCUUUACGACGAGAGUGAGCCCGCCUCGCACCCAUCCAAAACAGCGUGAAACUGGCAAAAAAUAUUCUAACCCUAAAAUUAACUUGGGCUGUUCGUACAGAAGGAGCACGCUUCAGAGAAAGAGUCGUGUGGGCAUCCUUGUGUUCCGCAAGCCGUGCCUAGCCUUCAAAUUUCUUGCGUUUGCUCUGAUCAAGCUUUUGUGCACAGUUUUUUCCAGUGUAUCGUUUAACAAAAAGUUACAGCUGUUUUGUACUGAGCAGGUUACAGGAACUAAUGCCAUCUGUAAAUAUCUCUUACAGCCGUGCUGUUUGAAGUCAUCACAGAUAUAAACUACACGUUGCAGCAACUCUCAAUCUCAUUCCUGCCCGUCAUGUCGAACAGCGUAGCGCUAAUUUCAGUUUGAGGUCUGCACUCUUACUACAAUGCAGAUGGUGACAGCAUCAGGCUGCACUCGGUUACCGUCGUGAAUCAUGGACCAAGACUGCACUCUUAGGCCCACUCCUUUUUGGUGGAUCGGGUCUUGCCAUCUUCCCCUUUCGUGGCUUCCUGUCGUAAUUAAAUAAAUUCUCAUAUUUUUUUCUGACGGUGGUGCGUACCUCUUGCCACACUUGGCAAAAAUAGUGUGGUGAAUCCAUGCCACGGAUUACUGUGAAACAUGCGAGAAGGUAAUUAUUGAGAAGAUUAAGCUCCGAAAAGUUCGAUGGAAAGACAAUAGAUAUACCCCGUUUAAUAUUUCUGACUACUUUAAGCAUGCUAUCUCCGGAGUAUUUCAGCCUAUAAUUGCAUCUCCUUUUGACCAUUCACACGCUCACGGAAAGGCAAUCGGCAUGGGCUUUCAAAUCUGCGUUCUGCAGAUUUGAAACAUUACCAAGUGUAUUUCGGCACAACUAAAUGUUCAAACUUAAGGCCAUUUUGUUGCCAUAAUUAUAAGUUUCUGCUAAGGUGAAUAUGUGUUCCUUACAUUAAUUAAAACGAAAAAAAAAAAAAAAAACUGAUUACAU
rnacentral:lncRNA from 1 species